GGAUAAUCAAGGCUGAGGUGUGAUGACGAGGCACUACGGUGCUGAAGUAACAAAUGCCCUGCUUCCAGGAAAAGCCUCUAAGCAUCAGGUAACAUCAAAUCGUACCCCAAACCGACACAGGUGGUCAGGUAGAGAAUACCAAGGCGCUUGAGAGAACUCGGGUGAAGGAACUAGGCAAAAUGGUGCCGUAACUUCGGGAGAAGGCACGCUGGUGUGUAGGUGAAGUCCCUGCGGAUGGAGCUGAGACCAGUCGAAGAUACCAGCUGGCUGCAACUGUUUAUUAAAAACACAGCACUGUGCAAACACGAAAGUGGACGUAUACGGUGUGACGCCUGCCCGGUGCCGGAAGGUUAAUUGAUGGGGUUAUCCGUAAGGAGAAGCUCUUGAUCGAAGCCCCGGUAAACGGCGGCCGUAACUAUAACGGUCCUAAGGUAGCGAAAUUCCUUGUCGGGUAAGUUCCGACCUGCACGAAUGGCGUAAUGAUGGCCAGGCUGUCUCCACCCGAGACUCAGUGAAAUUGAACUCGCUGUGAAGAUGCAGUGUACCCGCGGCAAGACGGAAAGACCCCGUGAACCUUUACUAUAGCUUGACACUGAACAUUGAGCCUUGAUGUGUAGGAUAGGUGGGAGGCUUUGAAGCGUGGACGCCAGUCUGCGUGGAGCCAACCUUGAAAUACCACCCUUUAAUGUUUGAUGUUCUAACGUUGGCCCCUUACCGGGGUUGCGGACAGUGUCUGGUGGGUAGUUUGACUGGGGCGGUCUCCUCCCAAAGCGUAACGGAGGAGCACGAAGGUUAGCUAAUCCUGGUCGGACAUCAGGAGGUUAGUGCAAUGGCAUAAGCUAGCUUGACUGCGAGCGUGACGGCGCGAGCAGGUGCGAAAGCAGGUCAUAGUGAUCCGGUGGUUCUGAAUGGAAGGGCCAUCGCUCAACGGAUAAAAGGUACUCCGGGGAUAACAGGCUGAUACCGCCCAAGAGUUCAUAUCGACGGCGGUGUUUGGCACCUCGAUGUCGGCUCAUCACAUCCUGGGGCUGAAGUAGGUCCCAAGGGUAUGGCUGUUCGCCAUUUAAAGUGGUACGCGAGCUGGGUUUAGAACGUCGUGAGACAGUUCGGUCCCUAUCUGCCGUGGGCGCUGGAGAAUUGAGGGGGGCUGCUCCUAGUACGAGAGGACCGGAGUGGACGCAUCACUGGUGUUCGGGUUGUCAUGCCAAUGGCACUGCCCGGUAGCUAAAUGCGGAAGAGAUAAGUGCUGAAAGCAUCUAAGCACGAAACUUGCCCCGAGAUGAGUUCUCCCUGAGACUUUAAGUCUCCUGAAGGAACGUUAAAGACGAUGACGUUGAUAGGCCGGGUGUGUAAGCGCAGCGAUGCGUUGAGCUAACCGGUACUAAUGAACCGUGAGGCUUAACCUU
rnacentral:rRNA from 1 species